rnacentral:misc_RNA from 1 species
GAUGAAGAACGUAGCGAAAUGCGAUAAGUAAUGUGAAUUGCAGAAUUCAGUGAACCAUCGAAUCUUUGAACGCACAUUGCGCCCGGCAGUAAUCUGCCGGGCAUGCCUGUCCGAGCGUCAUUUCUGCCCUCGAGCGAGUCCAGCAUCUAGGUGCUGGGCCCGCCCGGCGUUGGGGCACUACGGGAAGCCCUGUGCUGUCCCCCGUAGGCCCCGAAAUGAAGUGGCGGUCCUGCCGCGGCGCCCCCUGCGUAGUAUAACAGCUCGCUUCGGGACCCGGUGGAGGCCUGCCGUCAAACCUUACUCUCUAAGUUUGACCUCGGAUCAGGUAGGAUUACCCGCUGAACUUAAGCAUAUCAAUAAGCGGAGGA